rnacentral:misc_RNA from 1 species
CGUAGGUGAACCUGCGGAAGGAUCAUUAUUGUAUAACCGAGGUGCGAGGGCAGUCGCUGACCCGAAAGGUCGUGCACGCCCGAGUGCCCUCACACACAUCCAUCUCACCCCUAUGUGCACCACCGCGUGGGUCCCCCUUUGGCUUGUUCGGAGGGGGGCUUACGUUUUCACACAAACUUUGUAUGCAGUGUAGAAUGUAUUUUUUGUUUUUGCGAUCACGCAAUCAAUACAACUUUCAACAACGGAUCUCUUGGCUCUC